rnacentral:rRNA from 1 species
UACAGAGGUCUCCAGCGUUGUUCGGAUUCAUUGGGCGUAAAGGGUGCGUAGGCGGCGCGGUAAGUCGGGUGUGAAAUCUCGGAGCUUAACUCCGAAACUGCAUUCGAUACUGCCGUGCUUGAGGACUGGAGAGGAGACUGGAAUUUACGGUGUAGCGGUGAAAUGCGUAGAUAUCGUAAGGAAGACCAGUGGCGAAGGCGGGUCUCUGGACAGUUCCUGACGCUGAGGCACGAAGGUCAGGGGAGCAAACGGG